rnacentral:rRNA from 1 species
CCUACGGGUGGCAGCAGUGGGGAAUAUUGGACAAUGGGGGGAACCCUGAUCCAGCCAUGCCGCGUGUGUGAAGAAGGCCCUCGGGUUGUAAAGCACUUUCAGUGAGGAAGAACGCCUGGUGGUUAAUACCCAUCAGGAAAGACAUCACUCACAGAAGAAGCACCGGCUAACUCCGUGCCAGCAGCCGCGGUAAUACGGAGGGUGCGAGCGUUAAUCGGAAUUACUGGGCGUAAAGCGCGCGUAGGUGGCUUGAUAAGCCGGUUGUGAAAGCCCCGGGCUCAACCUGGGAACGGCAUCCGGAACUGUCAAGCUAGAGUGAAGGAGAGGAAGGUAGAAUUCCCGGUGUAGCGGUGAAAUGCGUAGAGUUCGGGAGGAAUACCAGUGGCGAAGGCGGCCUUCUGGACUGACACUGACACUGAGGUGCGAAGGCGUGGGUAGCAAACAGGAUUAGAUGCCCGUGUAGUC